rnacentral:rRNA from 2 species
GUGCGAGACCGAUAGCGAACAAGUACCGUGAGGGAAAGAUGAAAAGAACUUUGAAAAGAGAGUUAAAGAGUACCUGAAACUGCUGAAAGGGAAUCGAAUCGUUUCCAGUGUCUAUAAUCUGUGGCAUAUUUCAUUGGCGAGUGUGUGCGUGCAUUGUUUUGGAAGCAGUUUUCUGUUCCUGGCUGUGUUGUGCAUUUGCUUGCUGGUGCCCUGUGUCGCGGUGGGACGUCAGAGUCAAUUCGUAAGUUGCGGGAAAUGGCUAUUGGGGAGGUAGGUCACUUCGGUGGCUGUUAUAUCCUGAUAGCUAGUAGUCGUGGCUGGGAUUGAGGUGCCUAC